GAUGAACGCUGGCGGCGUGCCUAAUACAUGCAAGUCGAACGAGUUCUGAUUAUUGAAAGGUGCUUGCAUCUUGAUUUAAUUUUGAACGAGUGGCGGACGGGUGAGUAACACGUGGGUAACCUGCCCUUAAGUGGGGGAUAACAUUUGGAAACAGAUGCUAAUACCGCAUAAAUCCAAAAACCGCAUGGUUCUUGGCUGAAAGAUGGCGUAAGCUAUCGCUUUUGGAUGGACCCGCGGCGUAUUAGCUAGUUGGUGAGGUAACGGCUCACCAAGGCAAUGAUACGUAGCCGAACUGAGAGGUUGAUCGGCCACAUUGGGACUGAGACACGGCCCAAACUCCUACGGGAGGCAGCAGUAGGGAAUCUUCCACAAUGGACGCAAGUCUGAUGGAGCAACGCCGCGUGAGUGAAGAAGGCUUUCGGGUCGUAAAACUCUGUUGUUGGAGAAGAAUGGUCGGCAGAGUAACUGUUGUCGGCGUGACGGUAUCCAACCAGAAAGCCACGGCUAACUACGUGCCAGCAGCCGCGGUAAUACGUAGGUGGCAAGCGUUAUCCGGAUUUAUUGGGCGUAAAGCGAGCGCAGGCGGUUUUUUAAGUCUGAUGUGAAAGCCCUCGGCUUAACCGAGGAAGUGCAUCGGAAACUGGGAAACUUGAGUGCAGAAGAGGACAGUGGAACUCCAUGUGUAGCGGUGAAAUGCGUAGAUAUAUGGAAGAACACCAGUGGCGAAGGCGGCUGUCUGGUCUGUAACUGACGCUGAGGCUCGAAAGCAUGGGUAGCGAACAGGAUUAGAUACCCUGGUAGUCCAUGCCGUAAACGAUGAAUGCUAGGUGUUGGAGGGUUUCCGCCCUUCAGUGCCGCAGCUAACGCAUUAAGCAUUCCGCCUGGGGAGUACGACCGCAAGGUUGAAACUCAAAGGAAUUGACGGGGGCCCGCACAAGCGGUGGAGCAUGUGGUUUAAUUCGAAGCAACGCGAAGAACCUUACCAGGUCUUGACAUCUUUUGAUCACCUGAGAGAUCAGGUUUCCCCUUCGGGGGCAAAAUGACAGGUGGUGCAUGGUUGUCGUCAGCUCGUGUCGUGAGAUGUUGGGUUAAGUCCCGCAACGAGCGCAACCCUUAUGACUAGUUGCCAGCAUUUAGUUGGGCACUCUAGUAAGACUGCCGGUGACAAACCAGAGGAAGGUGGGGAUGACGUCAAAUCAUCAUGCCCCUUAUGACCUGGGCUACACACGUGCUACAAUGGAUGGUACAACGAGUUGCGAGACCGCGAGGUCAAGCUAAUCUCUUAAAGCCAUUCUCAGUUCGGACUGUAGGCUGCAACUCGCCUACACGAAGUCGGAAUCGCUAGUAAUCGCGGAUCAGCACGCCGCGGUGAAUACGUUCCCGGGCCUUGUACACACCGCCCGUCACACCAUGAGAGUUUGUAACACCCGAAGCCGGUGGCGUAACCCUUUUAGGGAGCGAGCCGUCUAAGGUGGGACAAAUGAUUAGGGUG
rnacentral:rRNA from 2 species